rnacentral:rRNA from 1 species
UACGGGGGGGGCAAGCGUUGUCCGGAUUUAUUGGGCGUAAAGAGCGUGUAGGCGGCCAGGUAGGUCCGUUGUGAAAACUGGAGGCUUAACCUCCAGCUGUCGAUGGAAACCAUCUGGCUAGAGUCCGGAAGAGGAGAGUGGAAUUCCAGGUGUAGCGGUGAAAAUGCGUAGAUAUCAGGAAGAACACCCGUGGCGAAGGCGGCUCUCUGGGACGGUACUGACGCUGAGACGCGAAAGCGUGGGGAGCGAACAGGG